rnacentral:rRNA from 1 species
UGGGGAAUAUUGGACAAUGGGCGCAAGCCUGAUCCAGCCAUGCCGCGUGAGUGAUGAAGGCCCUAGGGUUGUAAAGCUCUUUCACCGGUGAAGAUAAUGACGGUAACCGGAGAAGAAGCCCCGGCUAACUUCGUGCCAGCAGCCGCGGUAAUACGAAGGGGGCUAGCGUUGUUCGGAAUUACUGGGCGUAAAGCGCACGUAGGCGGACUAUUUAGUCAGGGGUGAAAUCCCGGGGCUCAACCCCGGAACUGCCCUUGAUACUGGUAGUCUUGAGUUCGAGAGAGGUGAGUGGAAUUCCGAGUGUAGAGGUGAAAUUCGUAGAUAUUCGGAGGAACACCAGUGGCGAAGGCGGCUCACUGGCUCGAUACUGACGCUGAGGUGCGAAAGCGUGGGGAGCAAACAGGAUUAGAUACCCCCGUAGUCC